GUAGGUGGAAUAGUGUAACAAU
rnacentral:miRNA from 1 species